UCUGGCGGCAGAACAUUGCAGUAAUACUCCCUAUUAAUUGUUCUGAGCUUGGCAUCCCAGCCAAUGCAGGUCUGAUACCCAGCAUCUCAGGAGUUCUG